AGUGUGGGUAGAGGACAAAGUGCCUACGGUGAUCCUGUCCCUCUCCUGCCACCCUCCCCAGUAAUGGCACCUCGCUUUUCCUGCAGGCCCAGGCCUCCCCCUCGCACCCCUUUCACUGUGGUGCAUUGCUCCCCAGGCCUCUCAGACUGUCCUCCCUCAGCCAACCCUCGUCCUCUCCCUGGAACUGACCUCGGAAGCCUGACUGACUCUCAGGGUCCAACCCCUGCCUGUGUGUCUCAUGCUGUGGCAGCCCAGGCCGUGGCACUGACCAUCUGUGCAGCUCGCUCUCUGCUUUGCCCUCCUCAGGCCGCUGGUGCACGUUCCCUCAAUGCUUUGAGGGACUGCUUCCUUCCCAACUGAUCUCCCCAUCAGUUAGGUGGCCUCCCAGGGUGUGGACGCCUUUCUUCUUCCCUUCCAGGAAUGCUGCUCACAUAUCGAUUCCUUUUCUUCCCUUCUCUCUCUUUUGUCUCCUUUUGUUCUACCCAGUUACAUGGAGGGGUUCUUGCCCUUUUUGGAAGUCUGAAAUUUUCUGCCAGCAUUUAGUAGAGGUUCUGUGCAAGUCUUUCCAGUUAUAGAUUUCUGUGUUUGUGUGUUUGUGUGAGAAGGGGAGUGCUGCAUCUUACUCUUUCAACUUGAUCCUGCCUAUUUUUGAAGAUUUUUUUUUUGUCUUUUGUCUUUUUAGGGCCACACCCAUGGCAUAUGGAGGUUCCCAGGCUAGGGGUCGAAUUGGAGCUGUAGCUGCCAGCCUACGCCACAGCCAUGACAGAUACGAGCCACAUCUGUGACAUACACCACAGGUCAUGGCAAUGCUGGAUCCUUAACCCAGUGAGCAAGGCCAGGGAUUGAACCCACAUCCUGAUAGGUCCUAGUCGGGUUCAUUAACCACUGAACCGCAAUAGGAACUUCUUUUUGAAGAUAUUAUUACCACCAAUUUCUAUUUAAAAAUACUCAGUUUCUCAGAUAUACUUUUUAAAAACAGAAAUUAGGUGUUGUCAGCAAAAAAACAUAAUAGUAAUAAAGUAGUUAAUAUUGUUCCAUCGUGACAAUUUGUAAGAAGCAAAAACUAGGGCUUUUAUAUAUCCUACUUCAUUAAAUUAUCACAUUUAAUUUUUAGUCUUAUUUAAGGUUGAUUUUAUGAACCUCUCUUUAAAGUUGAAUGAAAUGAAACAAAUUUUUAAGUAACUUGUAAAAAUUCAAAAUUUUAUUGAAUGAUGGAAUUUGGAUACAAAUAUAUGUUAGUAUAUGUUAAUAGAAUAAAACAUAAUUAUAUUAUAUGUUAGCUUGAAUUCAUAAGCCUUCUAUAAUACUUCCUACAAUUUGUAGUGUAAGUAUAGAUAUUAUAUGACCAAAAUUUUACAUGUAGACAGAAUAUGGUUGGUGAGUAGUUUAUGGGUAUUCUGGGAAACAGGAGAACCAUGUGAAAGAUUUUGCUUCCUUGUGAUAGCACACUUUUCUAGACCCCAAGCUUUUAUUUUUACUUGUAAGUUCUUCCUUUGAUUUUGAUUUUCUAAUAUUUCUUGAAAGAUGUGGGAAAUAUUUAAUGACUAAAUCAAAAUCUCAAUAAUCUAGGCCAUCAUUUUUAUUAAAUAGUGUCUAAGUGCCAGUAUUACCUGCAGCAGUUUGCUGCAAUAAAAUUUGUCCUCUGCCAUUUAGCUUUAAAAUACAGGUAGAACCUUAUUGAAGAUUUAAAAAUACUUAGGAAAGUAAUGGUUUUCAAAUGGCUUAAGGAUUUUGAAUAUUAAAUGUUGUAUUACGGAUCUUAUAAUGUUUUGCAAUACAGUAUUAAUUUACCUGAGACGUUUUCCCACAAGGAGUAAAAACAUGUGUUUCUAACUAAACUUAUUACUCUGAAAGCUUGACGAAUGACAACUAUGAAAAAAAAAAUCCCUUAAAACCAUAGGCUAAUUGGUUGAACAUAAAGUCUCUUGGGUCAGAAACAACAGCUGUGCAUAUACAUUAAGGCAAAACAUGAGGCAAGAGGCACAGAUAACAGCACAUAAGUCUGUCAUUUUGUUUUGAAUGAUGCAGCAACUCUUAGGUAUUUCCCUUCUCUCCUGCACUCUGUUCAUAGGCUCCCGCGGUCUGUGUCAUUGAGUAACGACUUGCCAUUCCUCAUUUGUUUUUGUUUCUGGUGCCUUCCUCGGCACGGUUCUUCUCAGUGUCUGCUCUCUUCCUUGGCUCAGUUCAACCUGCCAUAUGGAGGCAAAUCUGCGGAGUAGGUUGGAUUUUCUCCCUACGACCCCCCAUACUCUUCAGGUCUCCAUUAAGCCAGUUCUAGCUUUGACAUCUUUUCCACAUUUAAAAAACAAGAUUGCGUCUUAUUUUUGCCUAACUUUCACUCUGUCCUAUGAUUUCUUUACCGUCAUGUAAGCAGACUGACAUUUUGAAGUGCAAUGAAAAUAUGCUGAUGCAAGAUCCCAGUUAAAAUGCUUCCUUUGUCCUGUGGAUGAUUCAGCAAAGAUUUUAGAAUGACUCACAGAGCCGUUCCGUCCUGGUCCCUGUGUACUCCUGUGACGUCAUCGCUCAUCCUUCUUGCUUCUGUACCCCAUGCUUGGGUUGCUUGAUUGUGUUGUUAUUUCUCAUUUCUUAGUCUUACCACAGGCUGUCACCUCUCUUUUGAUCAUCUUCAGCCUUGGUUUUUGGUUUGUUUGUUUGUUUUUAAUAUCUCUUAGUCUUUUUUUUUUUUUAACAGUAUCAUCUUAAAAGUCAUGCUCUUUAUGUACUUCAGGAAUGUUUGUGUACUCACCAUGCUUCUUACUUUGUUUAUCUAAAAGUGUACUACUUCAGCUACCACAGCAUCACGUUUUUUGUCCUUUUUGUUUUAAUUGCUUGCUUUCUGCUUUAUAUUGUAUGUACUGAGAGGGAAAGACCACAUCUUUCCUGCUCUCCAUUUCAAAUUUCAUUCCUCGCACAGAUGUUACUAAAAUAUUACUCGUUAAAUAGAUCUUUGACAUAAGUAAGUUCUUUACCGAAAUGCCUUUUACCUUUUGCCUUCACACAUUAAAGUGUUAAUAUGAUUGGAUUGUCAACAUUUAAGUCAAAAGUGUGGGGAUUUGAGAAUUUUCAGAAGGGAUGAUACAAUAUCAAGCAUUAGAUACUGAAAUAAAUCUUAACUCUUAAAUUAGUUAUUUUAGAGAUUUUUUUCCAGAUAAAUUUCAUGUCUGUGAAUGAGAACUAGAUUGUCCAUAUAGUAUUGUAUUUUCAGGGUCUAAACUAUGAAGACAAAAAAAGAACUAUAGGUAUGUGUGUGUGUGUGUGUGUAUGCUAUUUUGGCACAUAUUACAUUUACUAUUUAUAGAAUGUCUCAAAAGCAUGUAGUAAAGAAGAAAACGAUCUAGAAAAAACUUGGUUAAAAUCUUAUAAGAAAACAGCCUUAUCCAUAUCCUAACAAAUGGAUAGAACUUGCAUGUUCUGUUUCCUAUUACAAAUAUCUCAAACAUUAAGAAACAAAACUCUGGAAAAAAGGGACUGAAUAAAUGAUGCAAAUGGAGAAAAUAAAUGUGCCUCAUAAAUAAAAUAUAAAUUUUUGGGGGCCAGAUUAAAUCUCAUGAAACACUAUUUUGGCGUACUCCAUAUUAAAAUUAACAAAUACAUAUAGCAAAUAAAUACUGACUUGGAUAGGAAAACAGCUAUACCACCUAAUUUUUGACUGUUUUAUGGCUUUCUAAACUGGGUUGAGACAGAAUUAUGAGUUAAUUUGGUCACAAAUAACCAGUAUUUUUUCUGAUAUCCUGUAUUAGGUAGCAUGAUGAAAAAUAUUUAUUUCAGAGAUAUAUGAACCUAAAUCUUUGAAAAUUUAUACAGCCUUUCUGCAUAAUGGUAGGUUUUCUAGUGUAUUUGAAAUAUUUUUCCACAUUAAAUCAAUUCUGUGUGUGUAUAUAUAACAAGUUGAUUCAAUGUAUGAAAAAUAGGUGUGUGUAUGGACACUGGUUUGAAGCAAGAAAAAAGCAAAAUUAUAUAGAAAUAAACAGUUCAUAUUAUCUGUGCCUUAGAUCUAAAUAAAAUGUAUCUUUUGCAACUUUUUUUUUCAGAAUUUGGGUAAAAUACUGAAUUUCCCUGCAUCUCUAUUCUAGGGUCAUUUUAAGUAGUAAAUAAAACAAAGACUGAAAAGUAAUUAGUCUAGUACUUGGUUCAGUAUUUAUCUUAGCAAUAGUCGUUGUAUUGGUGUGUUCAUUUUUAAAAAUCAAAAUUUUAUUUAUUGCAUGUUAUAUUUCACACCUGUCUUACCAGUAGUUAUCAUUGCUGUGAAAGUAAAGACACAUUUUUCACCACACAUUUUGUUAUUCAAGGAUAUCAAGUGAAAUUCUUUUCCCAUUAGAACUUUUGAAAUAAAUUAACUAGUUGUUAAAUAUGAAGAUAUUAAAAACAUAUAUUUCAAUAAAAGAUGUUUCCAAAACAAAACAACAACAAAAACCCUCAUGAACAAUCUUAAGGAACUAUCUCUUUUACUAACAUUUAUAUUUUAUAAUUUUAAAACACACACUCCUGUUAAAGACUUCAGGGUAGUAAAGUAGAGGGUACAUUUCAAAAUACCUGAUUAUUUGCACAAUACCUAAUUUACUAUCAAAGACAUUUGCCAUAUGAAAUUAGAAGAAAAUGGUACAGAUAUAAAAAUCUCUGUUGUAAAUGGAAUCAUUAAACUAUGCCUGAUUUGUCACAUUUCCUUGUGCCUGGUUAGAGAUGUGACAUCAGGUAAUACAUUUCAGAGUGAUGAGACAGGGAAAUUAGAUAUUGAAUGCUCCAUAGUUUUCAAUAUAUAAAAGUUUUAAAUCUCAUUUAAGGAAUGACACAUCCUAGAAGAGCAGCCAAACAAAGCUGCUUAUAAAUUCUCGAAUUAACAAGAAAAAUUGACUUUUUUUUUUAGAAAAAAGUAUUUUGUUCACUGGGAUCUGAAUCAUUACAUAAAACAUUUGGUAGAAUCACUGCUAAGCAUAAUCCGUGUACUUUUUAUUUUUUUAUUUAUUUAUUUUUUUGCUAUCUCUUUGGGCCGCUCCCACGGCACAUGGAGAUUCCCAGGCUAGGGGUCGAAUCGGAGCUGCAGCCACCGGCCUACGCCAGAGCCACAGCAACGCAGGAUCUGAGCCGCAUCUGCAACCUACACCACAGCUCACGGCAACGCCGGAUCGUUAACCCACUGAGCAAGGGCAGGGAUCGAACCCACAACCUUGUGGUUCCUAGUUGGAUUCGUUAACCACUGCGCCACGACGGGAACUCCUGUAUACUUUUUAAAGGCUGCAUUAUGCAUUAAUGCAUUUAAAACUAAAAUAAGAAAUUAUAUCUAAAUAUUUAUAAAUUCUUUCAAUGUGUUCAUUAAGAAACUCAAUGAAUGGGUUUGUGUGCAGUGCAAAAUUUUAAUUUUUUUGAGAUAAAAGCACACUCUUUUCUCUCAUUUUAAGAACUCAGUUUUAUAGAACCCAAGGUACGAAAUGAGUCUCUAGGAUAAGGAAUGUUGAAUUAUUGUUGGAUUGGUAGGGUUUUAGCAGCUUUCAUUUCAGAAGCAGAAGGAUAUUCAGAGCUAGAGCUAAUAGUAGAAAUAGUUUCAAAAGUGGGUGGCGGGUUUUUAAGGAGAACAUAGAUGGGUAAGUUUGUGCAAGCAGCUCUGUGUCCUGAGGAGAUUAAUUAAAGCCAGCAGACCAACCAAAGCAUUGAAAUUAAAAACAAAUUAAAGAACAGAACAGCAGUAGUUGAAAACUAAAGUAAGCAUAAAAUACAAUAUAAAAAUGGACAAGAAAUAAAAUCUCUCUAUACAAUUAUAAAAUAGCAACUCUUGUUGAUUUUCAGCUUUACCUUUCAGGUUUAAAGGCAUAUAAAAUUUUAAGUAAUUACUCUCUAUUUGGAAAUUUUGAAUGGAUGCCUUAUGAAAUAAUUCUGGAAAGUAAGAAAUUGAAAUGUUGGACUGCAUUAGUAUUAUGAAAUUUUAAACAUGCAAACAUCCAUUCAGUAUUUAUUAGGUACCUUUCUGUGCAAGACACUGGGUUAGAUAAUGAGAACUUAAAGAUGUGUACCAAGAAUUUACUCCUGCCUUAAUGAAGUUUGCAGUCUUAUAUAACAGCAGGUCAGUGGGCAACGGAUGUAAGACCUUCAUUCUGUACUUAUGGGAAAGUACUUCUAUUAGCAGAAGAGAGAAAUUAAUUCUCCUCAAUGUCCUUUCUAAUGGGACGGGAUUUGAACUGAAUUAUAAAUAAUAUUUACUCAUUGUUUAAAAAAAUAUUUCAUGGUAACAACACACCGUACACUAUUCUAAGACGUAGUAAUAGAAGGAUUUUCAAAACAGAGAAAUUCUCUUCUCCCCACUCUUGGGGACCUUAUGUUCUGAGUCGGACUAGUUAGGGAGAGCUUCUCCAGGAAGGUGAUGUAAAAAAUGGAAGGUGAUGGUAAAAGAAGCAGCCAGUCAGGGAACAAUAAAAGGAAAGGGAGCUUCGAAUAGAGUGUGCAUUUGGUGGCCAAGCCUCCUGGGGAGGAAAUGCAGAAGCUUGGUUUUUCAAAAGACAGAAGGGGGUCUCUUUGCUUAGAGCUUGAGUGACAAAGAUGGAAUGGUGAGAAGAGGAAGUAAAUAGAGCUUAUAAAGCAACAUAAAAAAUUUUAGUCAUUUUUUUUCAAUUGAGAUUGUAAGGCAUUCAGUAGAGAAGUGACAGAUUUUAGUGUAUUUAAAAUCUUAAGCUGUCUUAUCAAAAAUGGAUAACAUGAUGUCAAAUGAAUAUUAGAUGAUGUCUCCAGUGCUUUGACUUUGUCUGACCUAGAUUGUGAUUCCAUUAUGAAAAAAAAAAAAAGAAAAGAAAAA
rnacentral:lncRNA from 1 species